rnacentral:rRNA from 1 species
UGAACGCUGGCGGCAUGCUUUACACAUGCAAGUCGGACGGCAGCACAGAGAAGCUUGCUUCUUGGGUGGCGAGUGGCGAACGGGUGAGUAACAUAUCGGAACGUACCGAGUAGUGGGGGAUAACUGAUCGAAAGAUCAGCUAAUACCGCAUACGUCUUGAGAGAGAAAGCAGGGGACCUUUGGGCCUUGCGCUAUUCGAGCGGCCGAUAUCUGAUUAGCUGGUUGGUGGGGUAAAGGCCUACCAAGGCGACGAUCAGUAGCGGGUCUGAGAGGAUGAUCCGCCACACUGGGACUGAGACACGGCCCAGACUCCUACGGGAGGCAGCAGUGGGGAAUUUUGGACAAUGGGCGCAAGCCUGAUCCAGCCAUGCCGCGUGUCUGAAGAAGGCCUUCGGGUUGUAAAGGACUUUUGUCAGGGAAGAAAAGGCUGUUGCUAAUAUCAGCGGCUGAUGACGGUACCUGAAGAAUAAGCACCGGCUAACUACGUGCCAGCAGCCGCGGUAAUACGUAGGGUGCGAGCGUUAAUCGGAAUUACUGGGCGUAAAGCGGGCGCAGACGGUUACUUAAGCAGGAUGUGAAAUCCCCGGGCUCAACCCGGGAACUGCGUUCUGAACUGGGUGACUCGAGUGUGUCAGAGGGAGGUAGAAUUCCACGUGUAGCAGUGAAAUGCGUAGAGAUGUGGAGGAAUACCGAUGGCGAAGGCAGCCUCCUGGGACAACACUGACGUUCAUGCCCGAAAGCGUGGGUAGCAAACAGGAUUAGAUACCCUGGUAGUCCACGCCCUAAACGAUGUCAAUUAGCUGUUGGGCAACUUGAUUGCUUAGUAGCGUAGCUAACGCGUGAAAUUGACCGCCUGGGGAGUACGGUCGCAAGAUUAAAACUCAAAGGAAUUGACGGGGACCCGCACAAGCGGUGGAUGAUGUGGAUUAAUUCGAUGCAACGCGAAGAACCUUACCUGGUCUUGACAUGUACGGAAUCCUCCAGAGACGGAGGAGUGCCUUCGGGAGCCGUAACACAGGUGCUGCAUGGCUGUCGUCAGCUCGUGUCGUGAGAUGUUGGGUUAAGUCCCGCAACGAGCGCAACCCUUGUCAUUAGUUGCCAUCAUUCAGUUGGGCACUCUAAUGAGACUGCCGGUGACAAGCCGGAGGAAGGUGGGGAUGACGUCAAGUCCUCAUGGCCCUUAUGACCAGGGCUUCACACGUCAUACAAUGGUCGGUACAGAGGGUAGCCAAGCCGCGAGGCGGAGCCAAUCUCACAAAACCGAUCGUAGUCCGGAUUGCACUCUGCAACUCGAGUGCAUGAAGUCGGAAUCGCUAGUAAUCGCAGGUCAGCAUACUGCGGUGAAUACGUUCCCGGGUCUUGUACACACCGCCCGUCACACCAUGGGAGUGGGGGAUACCAGAAGUAGGUAGGGUAACCGCAAGGAGUCCGCUUACCACGGUAUGCUUCAUGACUGGGGUGAAGUCGUAA